UACGAAGGGGGCUAGCGUUGCUCGGAAUCACUGGGCGUAAAGCGCACGUAGGCGGUUUCUUAAGUCAGGGGUGAAAUCCUGGAGCUCAACUCCAGAACUGCCUUUGAUACUGGGAGACUUGAGUCCGGGAGAGGUGAGUGGAACUGCGAGUGUAGAGGUGAAAUUCGUAGAUAUUCGCAAGAACACCAGUGGCGAAGGCGGCUUACUGGUCCGGUUCUGACGCUGAGGCGCGAAAGCGUGGGGAGCAAACAGG
rnacentral:rRNA from 1 species